rnacentral:rRNA from 1 species
ACAAGCGGUGGAGCAUGUGGUUAAUUCGAAGCAACGCGAAGAACCUUACCAGGCCUUGACAUGCAGAGAACUUUCCAGAGAUGGAUUGGUGCCUUCGGGAACUCUGACACAGGUGCUGCAUGGCUGUCGUCAGCUCGUGUCGUGAGAUGUUGGGUUAAGUCCCGUAACGAGCGCAACCCUUGUCCUUAGUUACCAGCACGUUAUGGUGGGCACUCUAAGGAGACUGCCGGUGACAAACCGGAGGAAGGUGGGGAUGACGUCAAGUCACCUCAUGGCCCUUACGGCCUGGGCUACACACGUGCUACAAUGGUCGGUACAAAGGGUUGCCAAGCCGCGAGGUGGAGCUAAUCCCAUAAAACCGAUCGUAGUCCGGAUCGCAGUCUGCAACUCGACUGCGUGAAGUCGGAAUCGCUAGUAAUCGUGAAUCAGAAUGUCACGGUGAAUACGUUCCCGGGCCUU